rnacentral:tRNA from 1 species
ACCUGGCUCAGAGGUUAAAGCAUCUGCCUGCAAUGCGGGAGACCUGGGUUCGAUCCCUGGGU